AUUGAACGCUAGCGGCAUGCUUUACACAUGCAAGUCGAACGAGUGGCGGACGGGUGAGUAAUAUAUCGGAACGUGCCCAGUCGCGGGGGAUAACUACUCGAAAGAGUGGCUAAUACCGCCUACUAUUGGAGCGGCCGAUAUGGGAUUAGCUAGUUGGUGGGGUAAAGGCUCACCAAGGCGACGAUGCAUAGCUGGUGUGAGAGGCGGACCAGCCAAACGGGGACUGAGACCCGGCCCAGACUCCUACGGGAGGCAGCAGUGGGGAAUUUUGGACAAUGGGGGAAAGCCUGAUCCAGCCAUCCCGCGUGUAUGAGAAGGCCUUCGGGUUGUAAAGUACUUUUGGCAGGGAAGCGGUAUCUGCAGAAUAAGCACCGGCUAACUACGUGCCAGCAGCCGCGGUAAUAC
rnacentral:rRNA from 1 species